UAUACCACAAUCUUAGAAGAAAUCUUAAGAUCUGGAAAGAUCCAUGUUGUAUAACUGGUCUGAGUCACUGAUACUGACAUGGAAAUGUCAGGUGCGAUGCUCUGGCACUUGCCUGGGAACAUCGUCUAGUGUCUUGUUUUCACAAAAGCCAUGUGUCCUAGUCUUUCUCCAGGAACUGCUGGGUUUUCUUUUCUUCUGUGUUAACACUGUCCUGAUUCUGAAUGCCCAGGUUUUAUAUAAAGAGGAUGUCUCACCAGGAACGGCUAUCGGAAAGACACCUGAGAUGAUGAGAGUGAAACAAACACAGGACCACAUUAGCUCGGUAAAGACAC
rnacentral:lncRNA from 1 species